GUGCUCGCUUUGGCAGCACGUGUACUAAAAUUGGAACAAUCCAGAAGAUUAACAUGGUCCCUGCUCAGGGAUGACAUACAAAUUCGUAAAGUGUUCACUUACAUA
rnacentral:snRNA from 1 species